rnacentral:rRNA from 1 species
GACGAACGCUGGCGGCGUGCUUAACACAUGCAAGUCGAACGGAAAGGCCCUGCUUUUGUGGGGUGCUCGAGUGGCGAACGGGUGAGUAACACGUGAGUAACCUGCCCUUGACUUUGGGAUAACUUCAGGUAACUGGGGCUAAUACCGGAUAGGAGCUCCUGCUGCAUGGUGGGGGUUGGAUAUUUUCGGCGGUUGGGGAUGGACUCGCGGCUUAUCAGCUUGUUGGUGGGGUAGUGGCUUACCAAGGGUUUGACGGGUAGCCGGCCUGAGAGGGUGACCGGGGACAAGGGGACUAAGAGAGGGACCAGACUCGUACGGGAGGCAACAGUGGGGAGUAUUGCACAGUGGGCGGAAGCCUGAGGCAGAAACGCCGCGUGCGGGAUGACGGCCUUCGGGUUAUGAACCGCUUUCGCCUGUGACGAAGCGUGAGUGACGGUAAUGAGUAAAGAAGCACCGGCUAACUACGUG